rnacentral:rRNA from 1 species
GACGAACGCUGGCGGCGUGCUUAACACAUGCAAGUCGAACGGAAAGGCCCUGCGCUUGUUGGGUGCUCGAGUGGCGAACGGGUGAGUAACACGUGAGUAACCUGCCCUUGACUUUGGGAUAACUUCAGGAAACAGGGGCUAAUACCGGAUAUGAGCUCCGGCUGCAGGGUGGGGGGUGGGAAGUUGAGGUUGUUGGGGAUGGACUCGCGGGUGAUCAGCUUGUUGGUGGGGUAGUGGCUUAGUAAGGCUUUGGCGGGUAGCCGGCCUGAGAGGGUGACCGGCCAACUUGCGAGUGAGAUACGGGCGAGAGUCGUACGGGAGGCAGCAGUGUGGAAGAUUGCCCGAUGGGCGGAAGCCGGAUGCGGCAACGCCGCGUGCGGGAUGAGGGCCUUCGGGUUGUAAGACGCUUUCGCCUGUGACGAAGCGUGAUUGACGGUAACGGGUAAAGAAGCACCGGCUAACUACGUG